rnacentral:rRNA from 1 species
AGUGAACGCUGGCGGCGUGCUUAACACAUGCAAGUCGAACGAGAACGGGAUAUAGCUUGCUAUAUUUGUCAGCUAAGUGGCGCACGGGUGAGUAAUGUAUAGAUAACCUGCCCUCUAGAAAGGAAUAACAGUUGGAAACGACUGCUAAUGCCCUAUAUGCCUUUAAUAACUAAGUAUGCAAGGGAAACGCUUUAGUGCUAGAGGAUGGGUCUGUAUGGUAUCAGCUUGUUGGUGAGGUAAUGGCUCACCAAGGCUAUGACGGCUAACUGGUUUGAGAGGAUGAUCAGUCAAACUGGGACUGAGACACGGUCCAGACUCCUACGGGAGGCAGCAGUGGGGAAUAUUGCACAAUGGACGAGAGUCUGAUGCAGCAACGCCGCGUGGAGGAUGACACAUUUCGGUGCGUAAACUCCUUUUAUAUAGGAAGAUAAUGACGGUACUAUAUGAAUAAGCACCGGCUAACUCCGUGCCAGCAGCCGCGGUAAAAC